GAUGAAGAACGUAGCGAAAUGCGAUAAGUAAUGUGAAUUGCAGAAUUCAGUGAAUCAUCGAAUCUUUGAACGCACAUUGCGCCCAUUAGUAUUCUAGUGGGCAUGCCUGUUCGAGCGUCAUUUCAACCCUUAAGCCUAGCUUAGUGUUGGGAGCCUACUGCUUUUACUAGCUGUAGCUCCUGAAAUACAACGGCGGAUCUGCGAUAUCCUCUGAGCGUAGUAAUUUUUAUCUCGCUUUUGACUGGAGUUGCAGCGUCUUUAGACGCUAAAUCCCCCAAUUUUUAAUGGUUGACCUCGGAUCAGGUAGGAAUACCCGCUGAACUUAAGCAUAUCAAUAAGCGGAGGA
rnacentral:misc_RNA from 1 species